GAUGAACGCUAGCUACAGGCUUAACACAUGCAAGUCGAGGGGAAACGACAUCGAAAGCUUGCUUUUGAUGGGCGUCGACCGGCGCACGGGUGAGUAACGCGUAUCCAACCUGCCCAUCACUUGGGAAUAACCUUGCGAAAGUAAGACUAAUACCCAAUGAUAUCCCACGAAGGCAUCGGAAUGGGAUUAAAGAUUUAUCGGUGAUGGAUGGGGAUGCGUCUGAUUAGCUUGUUGGCGGGGUAACGGCCCACCAAGGCAACGAUCAGUAGGGGUUCUGAGAGGAAGGUCCCCCACAUUGGAACUGAGACACGGUCCAAACUCCUACGGGAGGCAGCAGUGAGGAAUACUGGUCAAUGGGCGAGAGCCUGAACCAGCCAAGUAGCGUGCAGGAAGACGGCCCUAUGGGUUGUAAACUGCUUUUAUAAGGGAAUAAAGUGGGUCACGUGUGACUUUUUGCAUGUACCUUAUGAAUAAGGACCGGCUAAUUCCGUG
rnacentral:rRNA from 1 species